AGAUCUCAAAUGAUCUGAACCAGAUUACUGUGAUUCUUUAACAGACGAGUCUGUGUCUCCGGCAUGAUGUCGAUUAUUAUCCUUUUACUGAUGAAUCUCUUCAUAGAAACCUCUGUGUCAUUGACUGUAUUGGUUCCUGGUGAUCCUGUAGUGGCUCAUGUGGGAUC